ncrna:unclassified sequences FuFi-1 RNA
UCCGUCAGCUAAUGGCAAUUAAACUGCUGAACUUAAACUGCAUAAGUGACGGAACAUUUAAAGAAGCAUUGGUACUACACAGUGCGUUGAAAGACUGCAAAAUGUAUGUGGUAUAAAAAAUAAGGCAACGGCUGUUGGUGGUAGUACACUAACAGCUUUUG